rnacentral:rRNA from 1 species
UGGGGAAUUUUGGACAAUGGGGGCAACCCUGAUCCAGCAAUGCCGCGUGUGUGAAGAAGGCCUUCGGGUUGUAAAGCACUUUUGUCCGGGAAGAAAUCCCCUGCCCUAAUACGGCGGGGGGAUGACGGUACCGGAAGAUAAGCACCGGCUAACUACGUGCCAGCAGCCGCGGUAAUACGUAGGGUGCGAGUGUUAAUCGGAAUUACUGGGCGUAAAGCGUGCGCAGGCGGUGAUGUAAGACCGAUGUGAAAUCCCCGGGCUCAACCUGGGAACUGCAUUGGUGACUGCAUUGCUCGAGUAUGGCAGAGGGGGGUGGAAUUCCACGUGUAGCAGUGAAAUGCGUAGAGAUGUGGAGGAACACCGGAUGGCGAAGGCAGCCCCCUGGGCCAAUACUGACGCUCAUGCACGAAAGCGUGGGGAGCAAAACAGGAUUAGAUACCCCUGGUAGUCCAGCGCCCUAAAACGAUGUCAACUGGUUGUCGGGCCCUUCAUUGGCUUUGGUAACGUAGCUAACGCGUGAAGUUGACCGCCUGGGGAGUACGGUCGCAAGAUU